AUACGGAGGUUCCGAGCGUUGUUCGGAUUUACUGGGCGUAAAGGGAGCGCAGGCGGACAGGUCAGUCUGAAGUGGAAUCCCGGGGCUCAACCUCGGACGUGCUUUGGAUACUGCCUGUCUUGAGUUCGUGAGAGGAAAGCGGAAUUCAGGGUGUAGCGGUGAAAUGCUUAGAUAUCCUGAGGAACACCAAUGGCGAAAGCAGCUUUCUGGCACGUGACUGACGCUGAGGCUCG
rnacentral:rRNA from 1 species